GGGCUGGUUAGCUCGGUUGGAGCUUGGUGCUGAUAACACCAAGGUCGCGGGUUCGAUCCCCAUUCGGUCCC
rnacentral:tRNA from 1 species